rnacentral:tRNA from 1 species
UCCAGGGUAGCCUAGUGGACAUGGCAUCUGCCCGGUAAGCGGAACAUUGUGGGUUCGAUUUCCAUCCCUGGAC